GCGGUUAAUAGCAUCUUAACUUUAAACUGAUGGCCUGUAGGGGCUUUUAUAAUGCUUUGAUGACCUAUUUCCUGUUUGCAGUCCAUGCUGGUUGUUCCCUUCUGCUGACGUAAUUUCUGGGAUCCUUUUUCCAUGCUGACCUAGACUGCUUCACCAGUGUUUCCAGAGCCUGGAGUGCAUAUCUGCUGGUCUCCCUUGAUUUUUUUGCUGGAAGUUGUAUAUACUGGGACCCUCCUGAUGCUGGAUCACCCAUAUGAUAUGCCCUUUCUUAUCUUCGAUCCUCCUGCUUCACGUGAAGGCAUUAAACCAAAUAACCCGGAGUUUUCAAAAACAUUUCCACCUGAGAGGAAAUAGAUCUAUAGGCUGAAGAUGUACGCACAGAUGGACAGAGCAUGCGAUGCCUUCAUCCUCAAAUCGGGAGGACCAAGAUUUUUUGAUCGAAGGCAAGAGGAAACUCCGAAUUGCAAAUGAGUUCAGCUACGUGCCCAGUGCACAAUGAAGCUGCUGAAGUGGACACGCCACAGCCAACACCCAGACAAGACCCACCCUCGACGGUUGUGCAGGAAUUGCAGAAUCCAACCAC